AGCAUUUAUAAUGAUGAUUGUCUUGAAAACUAAAGGUUUCGGUACUUAAUUAAAAUUAAAAACAAGAUUUUAAUUAUAAAAAUGUUUCUUGUUUUAGACUAUGACAAGAAGGGGAAGUAGUCCAGGCAGCCUUGAAAUUCCGAAAGACCUCCCUGACAUUCUAAACAAGCAGAACCAGAUGCGUCCUGUUGAUGACCCAGGUGUACCCUCAGAAUGGACAUCUCCUGCCAGUGCAGGGAGCAGUGAUCUUAUGAGCUCGGAUAGUCAUUCGGAUUCUUUCAGUGCUUUCCAGUGUGACGGACGAAAGUUUGACAACUUUGGCUUUGGAACUGACAUUGGGAUUCCGUCCUCUGCUGAUAUGGAUUCAGGUUCUGGCCAUCAUCAGAGCACUGAGGAGCAGGAAGUGGCUAGCCUAACAACACUUCAUUUAGAUUCAGAAACAAGCAGCCUUAAUCAGCAAGCCUUUUUGGCUGAAGUUGCAACAGUUACUGGUAAAGUAAUUCCAGGGAAUGUUACUAAAUCUUGACCUCUAAACUGUCAAAGAAUCUGGUU
rnacentral:lncRNA from 1 species